AGAGUUUGAUUAUGGCUCAGGAUGAACGCUGGCGGCGUGCUUAACACAUGCAAGUCGAACGAAGCACUGGGGAUGAAUUUUCGAAAGGAUUCCCUUUGACUUAGUGGCGGACGGGUGAGUAACGCGUGGGCAACCUGCCCUUAACCGGGGGACAACAGUUGGAAACGGCUGCUAAUACCGCAUAAGCGCACGGCAUCGCAUGAUGCAGUGUGAAAAAACUCCGGUGGUUAAGGAUGGGCCCGCGUUGGAUUAGGUAGUUGGGGCGGUAACGGCGCACCAAGCCGACGAUCCAUAGCCGACCUGAGAGGGUGACCGGCCACAUUGGGACUGAGACACGGCCCAGACUCCUACGGGAGGCAGCAGUGGGGAAUAUUGCACAAUGGGGGAAACCCUGAUGCAGCGAACCGCCGCGUGAGUGAAGAAGUAUUUCGGUAUGUAAAGCUCUAUCAGCAGGGAAGAAGAUGACGGUACCUGCACAAGAAGCCCCGGCUAACUACGUGCCAGCAGCUGC
rnacentral:rRNA from 1 species